AUGAAGCUGUCACUUUCAUUGUCCGUUCUCAAAGACCUGUCCCCCUUAGUUACUGUUGCUAUGCCCGACAAGCUACGCUGCUCUCAUGCCACUCCAUGUUCUCACGCAAGGAAAAAUACAUUGUGGAGCAGAGAGGAGACUGACAACGCGCUGAAAGACAGGACAGACCAGACACACACAGAGAACCGAGUUGAUGCUGACUCUGAAGAAGACACACAACUGCUCUGCAGAGAAGAGGCAGCUAGGCAACUCACUGAGCCAGAUGACAUAUCUGGUGGUGAUAUAGAAGAUGAAGAGCAUAACACACAAUGGUUGAGCAAUGAAGAGGUACAUUUUGUAGGGUAUAGUCUAAUAAAGGACAUGUUUGCUUGUUAUGCAAAUGUGCUAUAA
ensembl:lncRNA